GUGCUUGCUUGGGCAGCACAUAUACUAAAAAUGGAUCGAUACAGAAGAGAUUAGCAUGACCCCGUGCAAGGAUGAUAUGCAAGUUCAUCAAGUGUUCCAUAUUUUA
ensembl:snRNA U6 U6 spliceosomal RNA